GUGGGGUGUCUGCUGCCUGUUGUAGACACUCACAACAUUAACUGUAAGGUGAUCCAACAUCCUAACUAUACAACGACCUAUGACCUCCAUGAACUACCUGAAUCUCCGCCUUCGGCCAAUUGCGAGACCCAGUGGUUGGAUGAAAACAGAUGGACGAAAACCGUACUUUGGCUCAGACCAGUCACUCCAUCACUAUCUUAGGCUGCCUGGACAGACUGACCUACUCAGUGGACUGCACACAGCGUGUGGCACCAUUUUGGGAGUAAUGGACCUUCAAACCUGCCACCAAUCUCCACGGUAAUGACCAUGUCCCCAUCAAUCAAGAUACAAGUAACCACACCAGUGGCUGGAUUGUGAUGGGUGUGGCUGGAGGAGUCAUCCCCGUGAUACUGCUGACUGUGAAGGCAGCAUGUGUAUUAAAGAAGAGGUAUGGAUGGAU